rnacentral:lncRNA from 1 species
UUAGAAACGUGGGCUGUAUAGGUGGUGAUAAACCAAUACAAAUCCAAAUAUAAUGCGAUAGGAUCUUCAUCUCCAAUAUAAUAAAGAAGAAAAAGGUAAUGUCUAUUAUAUCCCAGAACAAAAGAAGGGUAAAUCUCAUCUCAUGGUGAAAAGCAGGGCUUACAGCAGAAAAAAGGAGAUGAAUGAGAGCUUCCCCAAAUAAAAUGGUUUGAUACAUAUUAUUAAAAAACUGGAUCUAACUGGAUCUAAAAUUUUUACUGAUAAGUUUCGAAGAAGAUUGUAGUUUGUGAAUGGACUUGGACUAAUUGGAGGGAUAUUGAAGUUCUGAGUGGAUUAACAGAGAAUGGGAUACCACGGGAAAGAUGAAAAAUAUUUUGACCUGGAUGACUACUAG